AGUGUUCAAUGAUUUUACCGAGUAUGAGUAUGCGCGCGCCCUCCUGCAAACCAAAAUAUCAUCUGCAUUUAAUAAAUACACACGAUUAUGCUCUUAUUUCAUUGACUUCGGUGUAAUAUUCGCAGAGAGAAGGGACAGAUGGUCUACAGUACAAGAAUUGACAGUACUUACAGACGUCGUAUAAUGCGUGUUAUAAUAUACUCAUUUAGCUGUGCGAAGAUGCGUUAAGAAUAUGCUGACAGCCUGUGAUACAUAUUUUGGUAUAUCAACAGGAAAUCUGCCUCUGCAACAUUAUGAUCUUUACACUUGUGAGAUCUGUGAUUUUCAAAAAAUAUAGUCAUCCAUUCAUUUAUUUGACAAGACUCUUAUUCUAAUAUAGGGCCACAGAGAAGCUGGAGCUAAUUCCUAUGAGAAUAAGAUGAAUAUGUUGAAUUUUGUACCUCUUCUAUGCCUGCUGCAUUAAAAAAAUAAACUUAAUCUCUAUGUAUUAAGAUACCAUUAUGAAAAGUUAACCAGACUAAUAUGCUUAUGUUCAGUGGUGCAGAAAUAUUAUUUUUUAAACAGCAUUUGGAGUA